AGUUUGAUCCUGGCUCAGAAUCAACGCUGGCGGCGUGCCUCAGACAUGCAAGUCGAANGAUUAAACUUUCCUUCGGGNAAGAUAUAAAGUGGCGCACGGGUGAGUAACACGUAAGUAAUCUACCUUCGAGUGGGGAAUAACAGUCGGAAACGACUGCUAAUACCGCAUAAUGCAGCGGCAUCUAAUGAUGACAGUUGUUAAAGCGUUUACGCGCUUGAAGAGGAGCUUGCGGCAGAUUAGCUAGUUGGUAAGGUAACGGCUUACCAAGGCGACGAUCUGUAUCCGACCUGAGAGGGUGGUCGGACACACUGACACUGAAUAACGGGUCAGACUCCUACGGGAGGCAGCAGUCGGGAAUUUUGGGCAAUGGGCGAAAGCCUGACCCAGCAACGCCGCGUGAAGGAUGAAGUCUUUCGGGAUGUAAACUUCGUAAGAAUAGGAAGA
rnacentral:rRNA from 1 species